CACGAACCGUACAAACGUUAUUCGGAAUUACUGGGCUUAAAGGGUUUGUAGGCGGCCAUGUAAGUCAGGUGUGAAAUCCCUCGGCUCAACCGAGGAACGGCGCUUGAUACUGCAUGGCUUGAGGGAGACAGGGGUAAGCGGAACUGAUGGUGGAGCGGUGAAAUGCGUUGAUAUCAUCAGGAACACCGGUGGCGAAAGCGGCUUACUGGGUCUCUUCUGACGCUGAGGAACGAAAGCUAGGGUAGCGAACGGG
rnacentral:rRNA from 1 species